CUCCUCUCUCACUGCAGACAUGAAACACUGGCUGACUAACAUCCUGAUUCUGACUCUCUGGCUAGAGUGUAAAGGAGAAGACAGAGUGACCCAGCCACCAGAAGAUGUCAUUACUACUGAAGGAGAGACAGUUACUCUUGACUGUACAUUUGACAGCACUGAUCCAAGUCCCACGUUGUUCUGGUACAAACAAGAAGAAAAUGAUUACCCAAAGAUGAUGCUGCGACGCUUCUCUGUAAAAACUGAUAAUUCUAAAGAGCAAGAGAGAGUUGAUGCAACAAUCAAGGAUAAAUCAGUUCCUCUGAAGAUCCAGAAGCUUCAGCUGUCUGAUUCUGCUGUGUACUACUGUGCUCUGCAGCCCACAGUGACAGGAAACACCAAAACUCUGUACAAAAACCUUUGGAGCAAAGACAACACAAUACUCCACAACAUCCACCAGAGGGAGUCACACACUGUUAAACUUCAAUAUGAUGUAGUCUAG